rnacentral:rRNA from 1 species
CCUACGGGUGGCAGCAGUGGGGGAUAUUGCACAAUGGGGGAAACCCUGAUGCAGCGACGCCGCGUGUGGGAAGACGGUCCUCUGGAUUGUAAACCACUGUCCCCAGGGACGAAAAUGACGGUACCUGGGGAGGAAGCUCCGGCUAACCACGUGCCAGCAGCCGCGGUAAUACGUAGGGAGCGAGCGUUGUCCGGAAUUACUGGGUGUAAAGGGAGCGUAGGCGGGGAUGCAAGUUGGGUGUAAAAACUACCGGCUCAACUGGUAGUCGCACUCAAAACUGCAGCUCUUGAGUGAAGUAGAGGCAGGCGGAAUGCCUGGUGUAGCGGUGAAAUGCGUAGAGAUUAGGAGGAACACCAGUGGCGAAGGCAGCCUGCUGGGCUUUUACUGACGCUGAGGCUCGAAAGUGUGGGGAGCAAACAGGAUUAGAUACCCCAGUAGUC